UACGAAGGGGGCUAGCGUUGUUCGGAAUCACUGGGCGUAAAGGGCGCGUAGGCGGCCGAUCAAGUCGGGGGUGAAAGCCUGUGGCUUAACCACAGAAUGGCCUUCGAUACUGUUUGGCUUGAGACCGGAAGAGGUUAGUGGAACUGCGAGUGUAGAGGUGAAAUUCGUAGAUAUUCGCAAGAACACCAGUGGCGAAGGCGGCUGACUGGUCCGGUUCUGACGCUGAGGCGCGAAAGCGUGGGGAGCGAAUGGG
rnacentral:rRNA from 1 species